rnacentral:rRNA from 1 species
AGCGAACGCUGGCGGCAGGCCUAACACGUGCAAGUCGAACGAACCUUUCGGUGCUAGUGGCGGACGGGUGCGUACCACGUGGGAACGUGCCUUUAGGUUCGGAAUCACUCAGGGAAACUUGUGCUAAUACCGACUGUGCCCUUCGGGGGACAGAUUUAUCGCCUUUAGAGCGGCCCGCGCCUGAUUAGCUAGUUGGUUGAGGUAAUGGCUCACCAAGGCGACGAUCAGUAGCUGGUCUGAGAGGAUGAUCAGCCACAUUGGGACUGAGACACGGCCCAAACUCCUACGGGAGGCAGCAGUGGGGAAUCUUGCGCAAUGGGCGAAAGCCUGACGCAGCCAUGCCGCGUGAAUGAUGAAGGUCUUAGGAUUGUAAAAUUCUUUCACCGGGGACGAUAAUGACGGUACCCGGAGAAGAAGCCCCGGCUAACUUCGUG